rnacentral:rRNA from 1 species
UACAGGGGGGGCAAGCGUUGUUCGGAAUUACUGGGCGUAAAGGGUCUGUAGGUGGCUUGCUAAGUCAGACGUGAAAUCCCUCAGCUUAACUGGGGAACUGCGUCUGAGACUGAUUGGCUCGAGGACAGGAGAGGAACGCGGAAUUCCAGGUGUAGCGGUGAAAUGCGUAGAUAUCUGGAGGAACACCGGUGGCGAAGGCGGCGUUCUGGACUGUUUCUGACACUGAAUAACGAAAGCCAGGGGAGCAAACGGG